AGCAAAGGGGGUGGACCCCACACAGGAAAUCAAAGGUAUACGAAACAGAAGUGAGAGGAAGGCUGCCCUCAUAAACAGAGAGCCACGUGGAUCAGCUUUGGUGGUGCUUCUGAAUCGCUGUGCUACCUCAGAAGAAAUCUUUCCACCCUAAACCUUCCCUUGCUCGACAGAGACCUUACCAGAGGCGCCGCUUCAUUGGCCACCCUCCCCCUCCCCCCGGCUCCGAGGAUCUUAUUAGAGACACGUCACCUUUGGUGUAUCUACUGCUUUGUUCCAACAGGUUGAGGUGAGGAUAAGAGAAAAAGCUGCUAGCAAAAUGCCUAUGCCUAAAGUACAGGAGAAGCUCCAGGAAUGACAACCGUACUGUUAAUAUUAGUAAU